rnacentral:rRNA from 1 species
AGUGAACGCUGGCGGCAGGCCUAACACAUGCAAGUCGAACGGUAACAGGAAGAGGCUUGCUUCUUUGCUGACGAGUGGCGGACGGGGGAGUAAUGUCUGGGAAACUGCCUGAUGGAGGGGGAGAACUACUGGAAACGGUAGCUAAUACCGCAUAACGUCGCAACACCAAAGAGGGGGACCUUCUGGCCUCUUGCCAUCGGAUGUGCCCAGAUGGGAUUAGCUAGUAGGUGGGGUAACGGCUCACCUAGGCGACGAUCCCUAGCUGGUCUGAGAGGAUGAGCAGCCACACUGGAACUGAGACACGGUCCAGACUCCUACGGGAGGCAGCAGUGGGGAAUAUUGCACAAUGGGCGCAAGCCUGAUGCAGCCAUGCCGCGUGUAUGAAGAAGGCCUUCGGGUUGUAAAGUACUUUCAGCGGGGAGGAAGGGAGUAAAGUUAAUACCUCUGCUCAUUGACGUUACCCGCAGAAGAAGCACCGGCUAACUCCGUG